GAUGAACGCUGGCGGCGUGCUUAACACAUGCAAGUCGAACGGAAAGGCCCAAGCUUGCUUGGGUACUCGAGUGGCGAACGGGUGAGUAACACGUGGGUGAUCUGCCCUGCACUUCGGGAUAAGCCUGGGAAACUGGGUCUAAUACCGGAUAGGACCACAUUUUGGAUGGUGUGGUGGAAAGUUUUUCGGUGUGGGAUGAGCUCGCGGCCUAUCAGCUUGUUGGUGGGGUAAUGGCCUACCAAGGCGUCGACGGGUAGCCGGCCUGAGAGGGUGUACGGCCACAUUGGGACUGAGAUACGGCCCAGACUCCUACGGGAGGCGGCAGUGGGGAAUAUUGCACAAUGGGCGCAAGCCUGAUGCAGCGACGCCGCGUGGGGGAUGACGGCCUUCGGGUUGUAAACUCCUUUCGCUAGGGACGAAGCGUUUUUGUGACGGUACCUGGAGAAGAAGCACCGGCUAACUACGUG
rnacentral:rRNA from 1 species